UACGAAGGGGGCUAGCGUUGUUCGGAAUUACUGGGCGUAAAGCGCGCGCAGGCGGUUCUUCAAGUCAGUGGUGAAAGCCCGGAGCUCAACUCCGGAAUUGCCAUUGAAACUGUAGAACUUGAGGAUGAGAGAGGUGAGUGGAAUUCCCAGUGUAGAGGUGAAAUUCGUAGAUAUUCGCAAGAACACCAGUGGCGAAGGCGGCUCACUGGCCCGAUACUGACGCUGAGGCACGAAAGCGUGGGGAGCAAACAGG
rnacentral:rRNA from 1 species